AACGAACGCUGGCGGCAUGCCUAACACAUGCAAGUCGAACGAGACCUUCGGGUCUAGUGGCGCACGGGUGCGUAACGCGUGGGAACCUGCCCUUAGGUUCGGAAUAACUCCCCGAAAGGGGUGCUAAUACCGGAUAAUGUCUUCGGACCAAAGAUUUAUCGCCUUUGGAUGGGCCCGCGUUGGAUUAGCUAGUUGGUAGGGUAAAAGCCUACCAAGGCGACGAUCCAUAGCUGGUCUGAGAGGAUGAUCAGCCACACUGGGACUGAGACACGGCCCAGACUCCUACGGGAGGCAGCAGUGGGGAAUAUUGGACAAUGGGCGAGAGCCUGAUCCAGCAAUGCCGCGUGAGUGAUGAAGGCCUGAGGGUUGUAAAGCUCUUUUACCCGGGAUGAUAAUGACAGUACCGGGAGAAUAAGCUCCGGCUAACUCCGUG
rnacentral:rRNA from 1 species